GACGAACGCUGGCGGCGUGCCUAACACAUGCAAGUCGAACGGAAAGGCCCUGCUUUUGUGGGGUGCUCGAGUGGCGAACGGGUGAGUAGCACGUGAGUAACCUGCCCCUGACUUUGGGAUAACCUCAGGAAACUGGGGCUAUUACCGGAUAGGAGCUCCUGCUGCUUGGUGGGGGUUGGACAGUUUCGGUGGUUGGGGGUGGAAUCGCGGCUUCUCAGCUUGGUUGUGGGGUAGUGGCUUACCAAGGCUUUGACGGGUAGCCGGGCUGAGAGGGGGACCGGCCCAGUUAGGACUGAGAUACGGCCCAGACUCCUACGGGAGGCAGCGGUGGAGAAUAUUACACAGUGGGCGGGAGCCUGGUGCGACAACGCCACGUGCGGGAAAACAGCCUUCGGGUUGUAAACCGCUUUCGUCUGAGACGAGGCGUGAGUGACGGUAAUGGGUAAAGAAGCCCCGGCUAACUACGUG
rnacentral:rRNA from 1 species